rnacentral:rRNA from 2 species
GUCCCUAUCCGUCGUGGGCGUAGGAAAUUUGAGAGGAGCUGUCCUUAGUACGAGAGGACCGGGAUGGACAUACCUCUGGUGUACCAGUUGUCGUGCCAACGGCAUAGCUGGGUAGCUAUGUAUGGACGGGAUAAGUGCUGAAAGCAUCUAAGCAUGAAGCCCCCCUCAAGAUGAGAUUUCCCAACUUCGGUUAUAAGAUCCCUCAAAGAUGAUGAGGUUAAUAGGUUCGAGGUGGAAGCGUGGUGACACGUGGAGCUGACGAAUACUAAUCGAUCGAAGACUUAAUCAAUUU